rnacentral:tRNA from 1 species
GCCCCGGUAGCUCAGCCGGAUAGAGCAAUCGCCUCCUAAGCGAUAGGUCGCAGGUUCGAGUCCUGCCCGGGGCGCCA